rnacentral:rRNA from 1 species
UACGUAGGUGGCAAGCGUUGUCCGGAAUUACUGGGUGUAAAGCGCGUAUAGGCGGCAGACCAAGUCGGCGGUGAAAGCGCCCGGCUCAACUGGGCGAGGUCCGUGGAAACUGGUCAGCUGGAGGACGGUAGAGGCGAGUGGAAUUCCCGGUGUAGUGGUGAAAUGCGUAGAUAUUCGCAAGAACACCAGUGGCGAAGGCGGCUCACUGGCCCGAUACUGACGCUGAGGCACGAAAGCGUGGGGAGCAAACAGG